CAAACUAAAGAUGGCGACCGGCGCACGGGUGAGUAACACGUAUCCAACCUGCCGAUAACUCGGGGAUAGCCUUUCGAAAGAAAGAUUAAUACCGGAUAGCAUACGAAUAUCGCAUGAUAUUUUUAUUAAAGAAUUUCGGUUAUCGAUGGGGAUGCGUUCCAUUAGUUUGUUGGCGGGGUAACGGCCCACCAAGACUACGAUGGAUAGGGGUUCUGAGAGGAAGGUCCCCCACAUUGGAACUGAGACACGGUCCAA
rnacentral:rRNA from 1 species